GACGAACGCUGGCGGCGUGCCUAAUACAUGCAAGUCGAGCGAAUCAAUAGGAGCUUGCUCCUGUUGAUUAGCGGCGGACGGGUGAGUAACACGUGGGCAACCUGCCUGUAAGAUCGGGAUAACUUCGGGAAACCGGAGCUAAUACCGGAUAAUCCUUUUCCACAUAUGUGGGAAAGCAGAAAGACGGUUUCAGCUGUCACUUACAGAUGGGCCCGCGGCGCAUUAGCUAGUUGGUGAGGUAACGGCUCACCAAGGCGACGAUGCGUAGCCGACCUGAGAGGGUGAUCGGCCACACUGGGACUGAGACACGGCCCAGACUCCUACGGGAGGCAGCAGUAGGGAAUCUUCCGCAAUGGACGAAAGUCUGACGGAGCAACGCCGCGUGAGCGAUGAAGGCCUUCGGGUCGUAAAGCUCUGUUGUUAGGGAAGAACAAGUAUCGGAGUAACUGCCGGUACCUUGACGGUACCUAACCAGAAAGCCACGGCUAACUACGUGCCAGCCGCCGCGGUAA
rnacentral:rRNA from 1 species